rnacentral:rRNA from 1 species
GCCUACAUGAAGCUGGAGUUACUAGUAAUCGCAGAUCAGAAUGUUGCGGUGAAUGCGUUCCCGGGUCUUGUACACACCGCCCGUCACACCACGGGAGUUGGAGACGCCCGAAGCCGAUUAUCUAACCUUUUGGAAGAAGUCGUCGAAGGUGGAAUCAAUAACUGGGGUGAAGUCGUAACAAGGUAGCCGUAUCGGAAGGUGCGGCUGGAUCACCUCCUUUCUAAGGAGA